AUACUUACCUGGCAGAGGAGAUACCAUGAUCAUAAGGUGGUUUUCCCAGGACAAGGCUCACCCAUUGCACUCAGGUCUAUCCCUGCGAUUUCCCCAAUGUGGGAAAUUUCACUGCAUAAUUUGUGGUAAUGGGGGGCUGCCUUUGUGCUUCCCCCUG